rnacentral:rRNA from 1 species
AUUGAACGCUGGCGGCAGGCCUAACACAUGCAAGUCGAGCGGAUGAAGGGAGCUUGCUCCUGGAUUCAGCGGCGGACGGGUGAGUAAUGCCUAGGAAUCUGCCUGGUAGUGGGGGAUAACGUCCGGAAACGGGCGCUAAUACCGCAUACGGCCUGAGGGAGAGAGUGGGGGAUCUUAGGACCUCACGCUAUCAGAUGAGCCUAGGUCGGAUUAGCUAGUUGGUGGGGUAAAGGCCUACCAAGGCGACGAUCCGUAACUGGUCUGAGAGGAUGAUCAGUCACACUGGAACGUAGACACGGUCCAGACUCCUGCGGGAGGCAGCAGUGGGGAAUGUUGGACAAGUGGCGAAAGCCUGAUCCAGCCAUGCUGCGUGUGUGAAGAAGGUCUUCGGAUUGUAAAGCACUUUAGGUUGGGAGGAAGGGCAGUAAGUUAAUACCUUGCUGUUUUGACGUUACCAACAGAAUAAGCACCGGCUAACUUCGUG